UACGAAGGGGGCUAGCGUUGUUCGGAAUCACUGGGCGUAAAGGGCGCGUAGGUGGCUUUGUAAGUCGGGGGUGAAAGCCUGUGGCUCAACCACAGAAUUGCCUUCGAUACUGCAUGGCUUGAGACCGGAAGAGGUAAGUGGAACUGCGAGUGUAGAGGUGAAAUUCGUAGAUAUUCGCAAGAACACCAGUGGCGAAGGCGGCUUACUGGUCCGGUUCUGACGCUGAGGCGCGAAAGCGUGGGGAGCAAACAGG
rnacentral:rRNA from 1 species